rnacentral:rRNA from 1 species
ACUCCUACGGGAGGCAGCAGUGGGGAAUAUUGGACAAUGGACCAAAAGUCUGAUCCAGCAAUUCUGUGUGUUUGAUGAAGGCCUUCGGUUGUAAGAACUUUCUAGUGGGAAGGAAGCAAGUGACGGUACCCACCAGAAGAAGCGACGGCUAAUACGUGCCAGCAGCCGCGGUAAUACGUAUGUCGCAAGCGUUAUCCGGAAUUAUUGGGCAUAAAGGGCGUCUAGGCGGUCUAAUAAGUCUGAUGUGAAAAUGCGGGGCGUCAACUCCGUAUUGCGUUGGAAACUGUUAGACUAGAGUUUUGGAGAGGUAGGCGGAACUACAAGUGUAGAGGUGAAAUUCGUAGAGAUUUGUAGGAAUGCCGAUGACGAAGGUAGCUUACUGGACAAAUACUGACGCUGAAGCGCGAAAGCUAGGGGAGCAAACAGGAUUAGAUACCCUGGUAGGAUAGCG